rnacentral:rRNA from 1 species
UGCCAGCCGCCGCGGUAAUACGGAGGGUGCGAGCGUUAAUCGGAAUCACUGGGCGUAAAGCGUACGUAGGUGGCAAAGUCAGUCAGGCGUGAAAGCCCGGAGCUCAACUCCGGAACUGCUCUUGAAACUCACAGUCUAGAAUACUGGAGAGGUUGCGAGAAUUCCUAGUGUAGAGGUGAAAUUCGCAGAUAUUAGGAGGAAUACCAGUGGCGUAGGCGCCCAACUGGACAGUUAUUGACGCUGAGAUACGAAAGCGUGGGGAGCAAACAGGAUUAGAUA